rnacentral:rRNA from 1 species
CCAGACUCCUACGGGAGGCAGCAGUAGGGAAUCUUCGGCAAUGGACGAAAGUCUGACCGAGCAACGCCGCGUGAGUGAAGAAGGUUUUCGGAUCGUAAAACUCUGUUGGUAGAGAAGAACGUUGGUGAGAGUGGAAAGCUCAUCAAGUGACGGUAACUACCCAGAAAGGGACGGCUAACUACGUGCCAGCAGCCGCGGUAAUACGUAAGUCCCGAGCGUUGUCCGGAUUUAUUGGGCGUAAAGCGAGCGCAGGUGGUUUAUUAAGUCUGGUGUAAAAGGCAGUGGCUCAACCAUUGUAUGCAUUGGAAACUGGUAGACUUGAGUGCAGGAGAGGAGAGUGGAAUUCCAUGUGUAGCGGUGAAAUGCGUAGAUAUAUGGAGGAACACCGGUGGCGAAAGCGGCUCUCUGGCCUGUAACUGACACUGAGGCUCGAAAGCGUGGGGAGCAAACAGGAUUAGAUACCCUGGUAGUCCACGCCGUAAACGAUGAGUGCUAGAUGUAGGGAGCUAUAAGUUCUCUGUAUCGCAGCUAACGCAAUAAGCACUCCGCCUGGGGAGUACGACCGCAAGGUUGAAACUCAAAGGAAUUGACGGGGGCCCGCACAAG